rnacentral:misc_RNA from 1 species
AAGUCGUAACAAGGUUUCCGUAGGUGAACCUGCGGAAGGAUCAUUAGCGAAGUUCGGAAUGCAUGUUCGGUGUUGAUGCUGCCCAGCGAUGGGAUGUGCUCGCUCGGAUGUGUGUCCCUUCUCUAUCCACCCCACUGUGAACCAAGUGUGUGAGCCGAAGAGAAAUCGGAAGCUCGCAUGCAAACCUUUAACAUACCCCAAUAAAGUAUCAGAAUGUACCUUGCGUUAACUCGCACAAAUAUAACUUUCAACAACGGAUCUCUUGGCUCUC